GAUGAUGACAUCACAGACCAGCCCCCACCGCAGACGAAUCAUAGACAUUGUUACAUUCGCUAUUUGCUUCAACAAAAUGGCGGGAGUUUCGAAGUGUUCGAUUUUAGCAGAGGUCAGCAGGGAGAAAGUGAAAUAUGCAGAGAAUCUGGACCCCUGCCCAGUCACCUCCCGACCCCGCUGAGAUUCAGGUCCGAUCUCCUGAAGCCAGUAUCAUCCUGUCGGUCUUGAGGAGGGCCCAAAGAAGACGUCCAGAUGGAAGAGAUUACUAUAGAUGCUUGUACACCAAGAAAUUUGGUGCCCCACCAGAUGCCUCAGUAUCUGGCAACAGCCAGAGCACCACCGAUUUUUCUCAGGCCAC